AGUAACGCGUGGGUAACCUGCCUCAUACAGGGGGAUAACAGUUAGAAAUGACUGCUAAUACCGCAUAAGCGCACAGUGCUGCAUGGCACAGUGUGAAAAACUCCGGUGGUAUGAGAUAGACCCGCGUCUGAUUAGCUAGUUGGUGGGGUAACGGCCUACCAAGGCGACGAUCAGUAGCCGGCCUGAGAGGGUGAACGGCCACAUUGGGACUGAGACACGGCCCAA
rnacentral:rRNA from 1 species